rnacentral:rRNA from 1 species
UACGGAGGGUGCAAGCGUUAUCCGGAAUCACUGGGCGUAAAGCGUGCGCAGGCGGUUUUGUAAGUCUGACGUGAAAUCCCCGGGCUUAACCUGGGAAUUGCGUUGGAGACUGCAAGGCUAGAAUCUGGCAGAGGGGGGUAGAAUUCCACGUGUAGCAGUGAAAUGCGUAGAGAUGUGGAGGAACACCGAUGGCGAAGGCAGCCCCCUGGGUCAAGAUUGACGCUCAUGCACGAAAGCGUGGGGAGCAAACAGGAUUAGAAACC